rnacentral:rRNA from 1 species
CAGCCCCUCGAGUGGUGGGGAUGAUUAUUUGGCCUAAAGCGUCCGUAGCCGGCCGUGUAAGUCUCCCGUUAAAUCCAGCGUCUCAAGCGUUGGACUGCGGGAGAUACUGCUCGGCUAGAGAGUGGGAGAGGUGUGCGGUAUUCUGGGGGUAGGGGCGAAAUCCUUUGAUCCCCGGAGGACCACCAGUGGCGAAGGCUGCUGACUAGAACACGUCUGACGGUCAGGGACGAAAGCUGGGGUAGCGAACCGGAUUAGAUACCCGAGUAGUCC